rnacentral:rRNA from 1 species
CGGGUGAGUAACACGUGAGUGACCUGCCUUUUAGACUGGAACAACUUACCGAAAGGUGAGCUAAUGCCGGAUGAGUUAUAUAAGUGCAUGUUUAUAUAGGAAAAGUUGGGGAGACCUGACGCUGAAAGAUGGACUCGCGUCCCAUUAGCUAGUUGGUAGGGUAAUGGCCUACCAAGGCGACGAUGGGUAGCCGGCCUGAGAGGGUGGCCCGCCACACUGGGACUGAGACACGGCCCAGACUCCUACGGAAGGCAGCAG